UUAACGCCAGCUGUCCUUGCACCCAUUGACCUCAGUCUCCCUCACUUAAAAUGGUGGGCAGCCACCAGUGGAUGCUAUGUUGCUCGAGGGAGCUCCACAAAACUGUUUGCAUUAACCAUCCUGUUUAUGCGCCCAGCGGUAUAUUUACGUGUUUUAGGCAAUCACUCUGUAAAGCAUGACAUCUUACAUCACCAACAUAGUACAUUGCUCCUCCAUGUAUACAUCGAGAAAUGCCCUGCACUCACUGCUGGUCCUACCCAUCGAGAGGUACAUCAUAACAUACACCAUUUAAUUUAAAGGAUCCCAUGCAGACUAUACAUAAGUAAACAAAGCCUUGCGUAAUGUACCAUGAUAGCUAUAGUGUUAGGAAUAUAAACAUGUAUUGUUGACACUAUACUGUUUAACUAUUAAGGUGUCCCGAUCUUCAUUUCAUUGAACUAGAGUGGUCAGCUGAUGCUUUAAGCCAAUCAGCAGCUCACUGGAGGUUGGUGU